ACGGGUGAGUAACGCGUGGGUAACCUACCCUGUACACACGGAUAACAUACCGAAAGGUAUGCUAAUACGGGAUAAUAUAUUUGAGAGGCAUCUCUUAAAUAUCAAAGGUGAGCCAGUACAGGAUGGACCCGCGUCUGAUUAGCUAGUUGGUAAGGUAACGGCUUACCAAGGCGACGAUCAGUAGCCGACCUGAGAGGGUGAUCGGCCACAUUGGAACUGAGACACGGUCCAAACUCCUACGGGAGGCAGCAGUGGGGAAUAUUGCACAAUGGGCGAAAGCCUGAUGCAGCAACGCCGCGUGAGUGAUGAAGGCCUUCGGGUCGUAAAACUCUGUCCUCAAGGAAGAUAAUGACGGUACUUGAGGAGGAAGCCCCGGCUAACUACGUGCCAGCAGCCGCGGUAAUACGUAGGGGGCUAGCGUUAUCCGGAUUUACUGGGCGUAAAGGGUGCGUAGGCGGUCUUUCAAGUCAGGAGUGAAAGGCUACGGCUCAACCGUAGUAAGCUCUUGAAACUGGGAGACUUGAGUGCAGGAGAGGAGAGUGGAAUUCCUAGUGUAGCGGUGAAAUGCGUAGAUAUUAGGAGGAGCACCAGUUGCGAAGGCGGCUCUCUGGACUGUAACUGACGCUGAGGCACGAAAGCGUGGGGAGCAAACAGGAUUAGAUACCCUGGUAGUCCACGCUGUAAA
rnacentral:rRNA from 1 species